AUUCAGAGCAAAUAAUCGAGGUUGAAAUUCACUACAUUACAUCAAUCUGCUUGCAAUUCACUUCAACUCCAUUCCCAUACAUACUACAUUACACUAAUACAUACUAUUAGAAAAACAAACUAAUAAAAAUAAAUAUAAGGAGUGCCCAAAAUGCAACCUUGUACAUCUUUAGAAUUUUUCAAUUUUUCCUAUUCUCUUCUUCGAGUCUGUUCUUUGAACACAGUAGCCCGUUUAUUACAAGCGUGUACCCAACAUCCGAUGACUCAUCGACCCAAUCAAAGAAAUUGCACGCUUCAGGCUUCCCAUAGAAACGACAUCUAAUAAACCUCCAUCCGAGAUUUGUUCCCGUCCAUUAAGUCCUCACACAUCCCAAGUGACCACAAUAGCAUAAGCUUUGUGCACCUCUCUAUCCGGGUGCUUCGGAUAUUAUCACCGCAUUGCCUCCGUUCGGCUACAAAUUGUUUGAGGUGCUAGCGUUCUGCUACUAGGUUAUGGGCUACAAUCAGAUGGGAGUAGAACAAUGUGAAUAUUUUGGUAUGAUUUAUGGAGAAGAUGAAGGAAUGGGUAGGGUUUUUUAGGAGCUUCCACUUCAUUAAUUUGGGGAAGAACAAGGGCAUGAAUUUGAGCUUCCAGUUGUGUGUUUUUAUGUUUUCUUUCAUUUUUUUUAAAACGUGAUUUGUGAAAAAAAGGAAAUCGUGUCCAC
rnacentral:lncRNA from 1 species